rnacentral:rRNA from 1 species
UAUAAAUUUUUAUAGUUUAAAAAUUUAUUAUAAAUUUAUUUUACAUAUAAAUUUUAGUGUUAAUUUUUAAUUAUUUUAAUAAUAUUUAAAUUUUAUAAUUUAGUAAUUAAAAUUAAAAAUUUAAGAAAUUAAUAUUUAGUAAUAUUUGAAUUAAUAACUAAUUUUGUGCCAGCAGUUGCGGUUAUACAAAAAUUAAAUUAAAUUUUUUUUUAGUAAUUAAUAAUUAAAUUUAAUUAAUUAAAAUAAUUAAUUAAUAUAAAAUUAAAUUUUAAAUUAUUAGGUAAAAUUUUAAUUUAUAAAAAUUUUAUAUUGAAUUAGGAUUUAAAAAAUUUUAUAAUAAACUAGGAUUAGAUACCCUAUUAUAAAAAUUUAAAUUAAAAAUACUAAAAUAGUAUAUAAUUAUUUAUUGAAACUUAAGUAAUUAUUAUAAAAAUUUAAAUUAAAAAUACUAAAAUAGUAUAUAAUUAUUUAUUGAAACUUAAGUAAUUUGGCGGUAUUUUAGUUUAUUUAGAGGAAUCUGUUUAUUAAUUGAUAUUCCACGAAUAAAUUUACUUAAUAUUAUAAAUUUUGUAUAUCGUUGUUGUAAAAAUAUUUUUAUAUAAAAAUAAUAUUUUAAUUUUUUAAUAAGAAUUUAAAUCAGAUCAAGAUGCAGAUUAUAAUUAAGUAUAUAAUGGAUUACAAUAAAUUUAUUUAAAUGAAUUUUAAUUUGAAAUAAUUAAUUGAAGGUGGAUUUAAAUGUAAUUUUAUUUAAUUUAAUAAGAUGAUUUUUAAUUAAAAUAUGUACAUAUUGCCCGUCGCUUUCAUUUAUAAGUUGAAAUAAGUCGUAACAAAGUAGAGGUACUGGAAAGUGUUUCUAGAAAGAA